UACAGAGGUCUCAAGCGUUGUUCGGAUUCAUUGGGCGUAAAGGGUGCGUAGGCGGCGCGGUAAGUCGGGUGUGAAAUCUUGGAGCUUAACUCCGAAACUGCAUUCGAUACUGCCGUGCUUGAGGACUGGAGAGGAGACUGGAAUUUACGGUGUAGCGGUGAAAUGCGUAGAUAUCGUAAGGAAGACCAGUGGCGAAGGCGGGUCUCUGGACAGUUCCUGACACUGAGGCACGAAGGCCAGGGGAGCAAACGGGG
rnacentral:rRNA from 1 species